GAACGCGAAGAACCUUACCUACUCUUGACAUCCUAAGAAGAGCUCAGAGAUGAGCUUGUGCCUUCGGGAACUUAGAGACAGGUGCUGCAUGGCUGUCGUCAGCUCGUGUUGUGAAAUGUUGGGUUAAGUCCCGCAACGAGCGCAACCCUUAUCCUUUGUUGCCAUCAUUUAGUUGGGCACUCUAAUGAGACUGCCGGUGACAAGCCGGAGGAAGGUGGGGAUGACGUCAAGUCCUCAUGGCCCUUAUGACCAGGGCUUCACACGUCAUACAAUGGUCGGUACAGAGGGUAGCCAAGCCGCGAGGUGGAGCCAAUCUCACAAAACCGAUCGUAGUCCGGAUUGCACUCUGCAACUCGAGUGCAUGAAGUCGGAAUCGCUAGUAAUCGCAGGUCAGCAUACUGCGGUGAAUACGUUCCCGGGUCUUGUACACACC
rnacentral:rRNA from 1 species